CAUUGCCAGGCAGGUUUUUUUUUUUUUUUUUUUUACCACUAGUGCCACCUAGGAAGUCCCCAGUGUGUAACCAGUACUCAAUUAAAAAAACAUGUGGAUUGGAUUAACAUGUAAAUUCACAGAUACUGGCUCUACCAUAUAUUACCAGGCAACCUUUAGCAAAUCAGUGAAUGAGGUUUAUUCUACUUCUAUAAAAUUGGGAUGGUAAUUUCUACCCUCCAAUUGUGAAUUUUAAACAAGAUUACAAAAGUACAUUCCUAGGACAAUAUUUGCAUGCACUCAAUGACUUAUUUUGUGAGUUUGAUGAAAGUUGGACACACAAUAGUAGUAAACAUUUUUAGAUUAUUUAUAGAAAAUAAACUACCAGGCAUGGUUUUAAGCACUUUAUCUAUCUUAAUUCAUUUAAUUUGUACAUCCUGUAAAGUUUGUACUAUUAUUAUCAUCAUGCUUAUCUGACAAAUAAAGAAACUGCAGGACUAACUUGCCCAAGGUCACAAGACUAGAAAAAAAAAAAAAAGAAAGAAAGAAAAUCACUGAACCUGGAUUUGAACUCAGGCUGAUCUGUUUCCAAAGUCCAUCAGUUAGCUACUUCCCCACAUUGCUUCCCCCAGGAAAGAAGACACAAUUUAUUUAAUACAGGUAUAGAAAAGCACAUUCAAGUAGUGAAAACUUCAGUUCACAAGUAGUUUAUUUUUUUAACUAGUGGAAUGUCUUCAUAGAUAAAAAAUGAUAAUAAUUCACUUUCUAAAUCAACUGGAAUAUUUAGACAGUGGCUAAAUUAUAUUGAACCCCAAACCAUGAAAUAUCUUUGGACAAAAAAUGCUACCACUGAGGAGCUAUGUGGAAACUGCCUUUUGUUUAGGCACAGUCUAUAUGAACCAAUACAUUUCCAUUUUAAAAUAGAAAGCAGUGUCAUUUAGUUUCCAAAGUUGAGUGGAAACAAAAACCAGGGCCAUAUAGACACACCCUAAACCAAGCACCUGCUUUUGAGGCUGCGUCAAAUAUUAUUGUCCUGUUUUUCUUGUGAAUUGGCUUCAAUCAUUUGUGAUUCCUGUGCCUUUAGCAUAUCUCAUAACCAGCAGUCAUUCAUCAUCUAUUUUAAGUUUGGUUGGUUUCGCUCAUGAGAGAGAACUCAGUAAGACUAUGUCUUCUCCAUUCAUGGUGCUGGUUCUACAAGUCACUGCAUACCCAUUAAGGUGGCAUACACACACAAACUUUCCAAAUCGUCUUUAAAGGCUUUCAGUUCCCUUUUUUCUUUUUUUGGUUUCUAUUGCCUUCCCAGUAAUGGCUAAGACAUUGUCAGUUUGCCUUUCUUCUUGAGAUUUCUUUAGAAGGCCUUGUGGCCUGAGCAUUCAUUUGGGACCCAGUUUUAAUUUCCCAUUGGUUUUGGUUUGGCUGUUUUACUUGCAAGAACAGAUAGCCAUUUAAGCCAACUCAAGAUGAAGGGCUUUAGCAUAUUGUAUUACAUCACUUUAUUUUAAAAUGAUGAAGGAAUGUGGAAAUACAGGAACCAGGAACUGUAUUAAAUGUUGGCCUCAAAGAGCCUGGAGCUCAAAGUUGACUCUAGAUUUAAGAAGGCUCCCAGGCCUUCAGCAGCAGGAGUUCAUGGAUUAAGUGACAUGCUAUAUAUCCACUUCAUCUGGUCCUAGCACUAAAUGAUGGCUAUUUUUCUCCAUGCUCAGGGCCCUAAGAGAGAAUCUGAUUGGUCCUGUCCAUCUUCAAGGGCAAACUAGAACUCCCUGACCAGUCUAUGGUUUGUGUACUGGUGCCUGAGCUACAGCCAAUCAUUUGUGGACAGAGGAGGUAGGGCUCUGAGUAUUAAACAUGGCUUCCUGGGCCUGCCCCUUUGGCAGGAAGUGUGGGCAGGGUGGAUCCCCUCAGAAGAGGUUGUGAGUGAGUUGGCACAGUGCUGACCUUUCCAGAAUAUCAUCUUGUAAGAGACUAAAGUGUUACCCAAAUCACACAAUCAUUUACCAAUGUAAGAUGAUAUAUUGACAAAGAUGUAACUUGGAAAGAUGUGCACAAAACCACAUAUAUACAUCUUUGCAAUUGGCAUGCUUAAAACCUGAAACAAAUUUCAUUAUUUCUUUGCAGUAUGUUUUAUCUAAAAAUGUUUGUUCUUUUGCCUGGUAAGUCAAGCUGUUAAAGCCCUGUGGCUUUCUUAGUCAGGCCCUCCAAGUUUUGGUGAACAGAUUACACUCAGCACAAUUCUAGCUGAUGCCAUUCAUAGAAGUUUCAAUGUGUUGACCAAACUGAAACUUCAUUAACCUUUGCAGUUGCCUAGUCAAUUAUUGAGGUUUUGUUUUAAUUGAGCUGGUUAAAGCCACUGACUGGUUAUUACCAUUGACUGAGUAUACACAAUGCCAAGGGCCACAGUUUUAAACACAAGCAGAACACAUUCAUGACUUCAGAGGUCCCUUGUGUCAAGUUUGUGAUGCCCAUGCUGUUGGUGAGCUCUCCUUUGAGGAUUGGCCUGCUGCCACCCAUGGACCCUGAAGAACAAGGGGCAUGCAGUGGGAACAUUCAAGAUGCAGUUCUGGAUGCAUUCUGCAGCGGCUGGGAGAGUUGUGGUGCUGGUGGUAGGAUGGCUGGUAUAAAGGUAUACGGCAUGACAUACUUGGCCUGCACUACAAUUCUAGAGAGCAACCCCCCCUAGGCAAAGAUCAGAUCCUUAUGCUUAAGGUAACUAUUUUAGGAUGGUUUGAGUCACUACCCAUGGCAGGCAUUGGUGAUAUGUAUCUGUGUGAAUGGCACUCUCUUUUCUUGAGUCCCCAACAGAAGCCAGCCUCUCCUGACACUAGAGGUCCAUAGCAAUCUAGCUGUGCUUCUCUGUGGCCCACAUCAUUUUCUACCCAUAUUGACAAUCUCUGUCUGAUUUUUUACUACCCUCUGAUGGAAGCUUGUAUUAAGACAAGAUCAAUGUCUAGUUCCUUUCUGGUGUUCCUGCCAUUUAAUAAAUAUUUGUUGAAUGAAUGAGAGUAAGAACCUAAACCUUUUCAGUCACCAGAUUGACUGUGGCCAUGUUGCUUCACUGUUCUCUUUGCUCAGUGACAGUAUUUGGCCUAAGAGGAAUGUCUGAGAUGGGAUCAUUGUCAAGUGAAACUAAUUUCAGUAUCAAGUUUAUUUAAAAUUUUCAAAUGUCUGUAAUGUAGAUAUUGUGAAACACCAUCAGUAUAUCCUGUAAUAUGUAAAAGGGUCCACAGACACAGUAGAUUACCAGCAGGAGGACAAAAUUUCUAGGGGGCAGAUCAGGAAAUUUCCUUGAGUGUAUGGAGAGAAGGAGGAGGAGAAGGGGGAGGAGUGGUGGGUAAUAGCUAAUGUUUAUUGAUAAUUUACCAUGUGCCAGGUCCUAUUAUAAGCAUUUUACAUAAUUAAUUCAUUUAAAACUCACAACACUUACCUUGUUGUCCAGUGGCUAAGAUUUCAUGCUCCCAGUGCAGGGGGCCCUGGUUUGAUACCUUUUCAGGAAACUAGAUGCCACAGGAUGGAACUAAAGGUCUCACAUGUUGCAAAAAAGGCCCAGCACAGCCAAAAUAAAUAAAUAAAUAAAUAAAACUCACAAGAGACAUAUGGGGAAGUUACCGUUAUCCCAUUUUACAGGUGAGUCUGGCACAAGACAGAGCAAGUUGUCCUGUGUUCUGUGAAGUCCAACUUGUACUCCAGGACUCCCCUUCUCCUUCACCUUCUCCUGUUUCUUUCCCAUUCUGUUUAUACCUCAUAAAUUCAAAACAUUGUUGAUAAAUGUCAAAUAUUGUUAAACACUAGAUGUUAAAAUAUGGCUGCGUGGCGCAGGAUCUGCCCAGAGGACCUACCCCACGUCCAAGGUCAGGAGCAGCAGCUGUGCUUUGCUGGAGCAGCCGUGAAGAGAGGUGCUGUGCUCCUCCUCUCCCCUGCCCUGCCCCAUGAGGAAGAGACAAGGAUGGAUGGAACCGGAGUGUAGGGAAGGAUUUUCUCAUAAUUCAAAAGCCCAUGAAGAUCUCUAGACUACCAGGAGAACAUUGCUUGCUCUUUCAGUAACAGAAGUUUGGACAACAAGGUUUCCUCUGCAUAGACAACCAGGAGAUGCACUUAUGUUCAAGUGAGAGUGAGUCAAAUGAUGGCCUUGAAAAUACUGCUAACAAACUCUGCCCAGCCUCCCAUCCCUCUCUCCCUCAAGACCCCUCAGCAUGCCCCUUGAACUCUCAAGAUCUUGAGUGAUAAAUCCUCAACUGGAAAGGGAGGAUUAUCUUGCUACAGUCGGCCUGGUCCCAACGACCUCCAAAUAACUUACUGGUGCCAGCCUGCUUCCUCAGGACCUGCUCCUAACUAUUUCUUCAUCAAGCUUUGGACUGAAUAAGACACAGACAAGAUGUCUUCACUUGUGAGUUGCUGUGAGUUGCUGACCAGGACCCCUUCCUGAAGCUGCUCUCUAUUCCACCGGUGCAAACAAUGUGUAUCUGAGAAGGGGACAUUGUUUCCAUUGUUUCCGCCGCCAUUGUUUUACAGUGUUUUGAAUUCUUUAAUUUUUUUAAAUUAGAAUACAGUUAAUUUACAAUGUUGCAUUAGUUUCUCCUGUACAGCAAAGUGUA